CCUGCCCCAGAGGCAUGGCAGGUGUGGCCGCUGUGCUACUGUCCAGUCGGUAGCAGGCAGAGAGCAGAGGCUUUGCUUACACAUGGUCUUCUGACCCAUGGACGUCGACAUGAUUAGUAGCCUGGCACU
rfam:Tupaia chinensis contig86319, whole genome shotgun sequence.